rnacentral:lncRNA from 1 species
GGUUGAAGUGCAGUUAUUCUAGUUUGCCACCACGGGCUAUAACACGAUUAUUCUAGUUCACCACCAUAGGCUGAAGUGUGGUUUAUGGCUUGCCAGUCACAAACUGCAGCGUGACCAUGGUUAGUCCAAAACACUAAAGACAACUAUUGAUUGAUCUGGAUCAUGUUAAUGAGAUAUAGAUGAUAAGAUAUAAAACCACAAUUAAGU